GAGCGUAUAGCCAAGUGGUCUAAGGUCGCAAGCUGCAACCUUGCUAUCGGGGGUUCGAAUCCCUCUACGCUCUUA
rnacentral:tRNA from 1 species